ensembl:miRNA
CCCGAGUUUGGGCAGCAGUUCAGAGGACAUUGCUGAACAUUGAACUGCUGCCUAAACUCAGGGCU